GUGAAAUUGUUGAAAGGGAACCGAAGGAAACCAGUGUUGGCCUGUGCAGUAUUUCUUCUGGGCUUCGGCCCUGAGGCGCUGCUGCGCAGUUCUGGUCAGAGCGGGUUCUAUGGCCUGCAGGAGACGGUCCUCAUUGGAGGUAGGGUGCUUGCAUCUGAAACAUGAGGUCUUCCGCUGCAGCCUGGACUGAGGCUUGCACCGCAUGGUGCGGCUCUGACGAAAUGGUUUCCUUUACCCCGUCUUGAAACACGGACCAAGGAGUCUAACAUAUGUGCAAGUACAAGGGUUUCUGAAACCCGUGUGCGCAAUGAAAGUGAGAGAGGUGGGAGGGCGCGAGCCCGCACCAUCCGCCGACCAUGAUCCUCCGGGAGACAGGUUUGAGUGGGAGCGCACAUGUUGGGACCCGAAAGAUGGUGAACUAUGCUUGAGUAGGGCGAAGCCAGGGGAAACUCUGGUGGAGGCUCGUAGCGAUUCUGACGUGCAAAUCGAUCGUCGAACUUGGGUAUAGGGGCGAAAGACUAAUCGAACCAUCUAGUAGCUGGUUCCCUCCGAAAUUUCCCUCAGGAUAGCUGCAAUCUACUUCUCAGUUUUAUCAGGUAAAGCGAAUGAUUAGAGGCCUCGGGGGCGCAAUGCCCUCGACCUAUUCUCAAACUUUAAAUGGGUAAGAGACCGGGGUCGCUUGACUGGACCCUGCGUUCGAAUGGAGGUUGCUAGUGGGCCAGCUGGGGUAAGCUCGGCUGGCGAUGCGGGAUGAACCGAACGCUGAGUUAAAGUGCCAAACUGCCCGCUC
rnacentral:rRNA from 1 species